CCUCAGUCCUCUCGUGAAGACCAGAGAAGGGAAGACAUUUGAUGGAGACCCAGUAACUCUGUGGAAAUAAUACUAAAGAGAGUGGACGGUAAACUGCUGCAGAGGCUUCACUAUGGCUGUGUUGAAUAUGGAGUCACGUGACUGUAAAGACAGCAAGAGGAGACAGCUCAUGUGGAAAGAUUCAAAGGAACAUCAAUGUUUAAGAAACAAAUCCUUUUAGAAGUAACAAUCAGGACAAUCCCAGGAAAUUAAAACAGUAUGUAUUUGAUUUGGUUGUGUCAUGAUAAAUAUACAUACUAAGAGUGUAUGAGCCAAAAUCCUUCCCUCCUGUGUGGCUUAGAAUGGCAAUGUCUUCUGUUGUUUAAUAAAGCAUGAUUUAACAGAGCUUCGAA
rnacentral:lncRNA from 1 species